UUCCGGUUGAUCCUGCCAGAUCCGACUGCUAUCCGGGUAAGACUAAGCCAUGCAAGUCGAACGGAACAGCGUGUUCCGUGGCGAACUGCUCAGUAACAAGUGAUCAACUUACCCUUCAGUGGGGCAUAACCUCGGGAAACUGAGGCUAAUUCCCCAUAGUUGGAGCCGCCUGGAACGGUGCUCCAUCAAAAGAUACUCCGGAUUGUAGGAGAUUUGCUGAAGGAUAGGAUCGCUUUCGAUUAUGGUUGUUGGCGAGGUAAUGGCUCACCAAGCCUAUGAUCGAUAGGGGCCGUGAGAGCGGUAGCCCCGAGAUGGGAACUGAGACAAUGUCCCAGGCCUUACGAGGCGCAGUAGGCGCGAAACCUUUACAAUGCACGCAAGUGUGAUAAGGUUACCCGGAGUGCCAGGAGAUAAACUUCUGGCUGUUACAGGUGUGUAAAUAACCCUGUGAGAAAGGAGAGGGCAAGGCUGGUGCCAACCGCCGCGGUAAAACCAGCUCUUCAAGUGGUCGGGAAUAUUAUUGGGCUUAAAGUGUCCGUAGCCGGUUUGAUAAGUUCCUGGUUAAAUCUGGCAGCUUAACUGUCAGUUGGCUAGGAAUACUAUCUUACUAGAGGGUGGGAAAGGUUUGAGGUACUCCAGGGGUAGCGGUGAAAUGCUAUAAUCCUUGGGGGACCACCAGUGGCGAAGGCGUCAGACUGGAACACGCCUGACGGUGAGGGACGAAAGCCAGGGGAGCGAACGGGAUUAGAUACCCCGGUAGUCCUGGCCGUAAACGAUGCGUGCUAGGUGUUGGUAGGGCUAGGAGCCGUAUCAGUGCCGUAGGGAAACUGUUAAGCGCGCCGCCUGGGAAGUACGCUCGCAAGGGUGAAACUUAAAGGAAUUGGCGGGGGAGCACCACAAGGGGUGAAGCCUGCGGUUCAAUUGGAUUCAACGCCGGA
rnacentral:rRNA from 1 species